GUUCUAUACCACACCCAAAUGGCUUAAGCCAGUGGCCGGAGAUGAGAACUUAGAGGCAUCUCUCCUGCCUAGCGGACUGGGCUCCCACUUUCCCGCUGUUUCCUUUAAACAAACUAAUCAGGCAUUUGCCGGUAAUCUUAAAGUGAUCCACACCCUAUUCCCUUAUAGACACUGCUGAUUGCCACAGGCUUUCCUUUCUCUCUGCCUGGCCCUCCAUUCCUUCCUGGCGUGACCUGGGGAUGGAGGACUGCACUCUGGACUCAUUACAUCCUCCCUGCCCAGGAUCUACCUCGUCACUGAAGAAGGACAGGAGAAACGGGUACAACAAAAGCAGUGGGCUGGGGUCCCCAUCUGGGGGAACACUAGGCCCUAAAGACCCACAACAUCCCUUCCUUUCCCUGGCAUGGGCCCUGCAGCUCCUGGUGUUUUUCUUGGCGGCCUGAGAGCCACCCUCACCACCAUAAAUCUGCCCUGUCGACGCCCCUCCAGUCCUGGCUCCCGUCAGCUUUCCCUCCAGCUGCUAAUGCCGACCUGCUAAUGCCAUCAGCCACGGAACACUGUAAUGCUAGACGGUGUGGAAACUCUGGCCCAGUUCCCUCUGUUACUCUUCAUCACCUCUUUUGAGAAACUCAGGACAAGUUCCUCAUUGACUGAGGCAGAGGUACAAUCCCAAAACAUCUGUUGUGGGUCCUAUUGUGUCCUUUGAAAAGAUGGGCACCUGUCCAUAUGACCUUAUUUAUAAAAUAAGGUCUCUGCAGAUGUAAUCAAGUUAAGAUGAGGUCAUUUGGGCAGGUCCCAAUCCAAUACAACUGGUGUCCCCUUAAGAGGACAAGAGUCAGAGAUAGAGACACUCAGGAAGAAGACAGCCUUGACAGCAGAGGCAGGGGUUAGUGAUGAGCUGCGAGCAGAGGAAUGCCAGGAUGGCUGGCCAGGACCAGGAGCUGGAAGAAGCUGGCAGGAAUCCACCCACGGUCUCAGAGGGAGCCUGGCCCUGCUGACACCUUCAUUUCAGAUUUCCAGGCUUCAGACUGUAAGAGAAGAUGUUUCUUUUGUUUUGAGCCUCCCAGUUUUGUAGGACUUUGUUAGGGCAACCCUAGCAAACUGGCAUAACGUCCACUCUCUGUCAGGUGCUAAUGCUGUCCCAAGAUAGAACCCCACCAUUCUCCUUCUACAGUGGUUUCCCCAUGUUGGCAUUGCCACCCCCAAACCCUCCUUGAGGUCCCAGGACAUUGUGCUGCUUCUACUCAUGCAAGAGCAUUAAUAUUGGGAUACCCAGGCCCAGUGACAGUUCUCAAAGUGGAAUCUGCAGUUACUUCUAGGCCUGCCCGGUGCCCCUGCAGAGUGAUCCCAGCAGCUCGCCAGCAAAUCAGCACUCUAGGGGGCUGCCUGCCAACCCGUGAGAACUAUGUAAAUAUUAAUUAUGGUUCACUUGUAACGAUCUUCCUGCCUCAUUCACAUCUCUCAUGACCUCAACACAAGACAAUACGCUAAAAAGCAAACGUCAUCACACUGAAAGUGCAGUGAUAAGGCCGUGCAAAAAUAAUUGAGAGGGAUGAAAUCUAAGAAUUGACAUCACAUUAAAGUAUUUUUUCCUCAAAAUUUUAAACAGUAAUAAUAUACAAAGAGAAGUAGAACCAUCAAAAGAUUUAUGUCUUCUGGAAAAGAAAUAUGACGCAAUUUCACAGAACUGACUUUGGCUGUUCAUUUAGCAAAAGCUUCAACAUCUGCAGCCAUGAAGUCUCUAAUCCUACUGUCUCAACCUUCCAUCUGGAAAAAUAAGCAUUUAAAAAUUUGUAAAAUCUUUUCAUGUUUCCUUUGCAUUCUUUUCCCUCCUUAGUCCUUCCUUUCAAUUAAUAAAAUUAAAAUACAUUGACUAGCUAGCUAGCUGGAGUCACGGUAUGGCUGAGGAUUUUCCUAACCAGCAGUGCACAGAUAUUACAGCAAAGAUGCAGUGAUCAUGCCAUCAGUCUGAUGUAUUGCAGCAGAGCCAAGCACGGAGGUGCAGACGUCAGUGGCGCUCGAGCGGAGGCUUCCUAAUGCACAAAUUACAUCUUCCGCGCCUGCGUUCCGUGCCUGCGUUCCCUCCCUGCACACACCCAGGAGCCUGAUAAAAAUGAAGCGCGCGGAGGACACGGAAAUAUCUAGAAGGCACAGAGACAGCCGAGAAAAAUGACGGGCAGUACAUGUUUUCUAGACUCAUAAUCUUUAUACAGGAUUACUGUAUGUUUCUGUGAGUUUCUAUGUACCGGGGGUGUGCUUACGUAUGUGCGCGCCACACACACGCACGCAUAUACGCAUAUAUGCACACACACAUGCACACACGCACAUACACACAUGCACACACAGGCACAUGCACACAUGAGCGCGCGCGCGCACUCACACACACACACAUACACACACACUGUGCGGUCCUCCUUAAGGGGACGAAGGGAGUGCUCAUACUGAGCUUCCCUCUUGGAGAACGCACACAGCACAACCUCCGAUGGGUUUUCCUCUCCUGGGGGCAGCGCUACGCAGGAGGCGGAUGGUCACUGGUCUGUCCCGGGACCCACCCCUCCGGCGCCCCGCAGGCUUCCCGGGCUCUCCACGGAGCAGCCCCUGUCUGCAUGGCUCCCUCGCGUCUCUCCACCAGGUGGACGUCUCCGAGUCCGGCUCCUGGGCGCGAGGGUGGGCCGGUGGCUCCCUGGGCCAGGAUCCGCCGCUGCGCUGAUGACUCGCACCCCUGAGAGGCGGGGCGGAGUCGGCCACCGGCGGGCGCCCACCCCAUCCUGUCCUUGGCGAAUGUCAGCGGCGCGACCCGCUCCUCCGCCCCCGCUUGGGCGCAUCUCCUCUCCUCAAAACGGGACCUGGCCUCCCGUUUCUCCCCACUGACAUCGACAUCCAUCCACUUCUCUAUUUGUACAAAUUUCCACAGUGUAUCAUUUCACCCCCUUGGAUGUAAAAAGUGAGCUAAUAAUUUUCUAGCAGCAUUCCUUAUGCCAGCCUCUCUAAUUUUGUAUAAAAAAUCGUUUUGCAAUGGGACCAAUGUUAACUCAUUUAUGCAAUAUAUCGGUUGCUAAAAUGAAAUAUUCCACUGAAGUCCAUCAGUCAGCAUAGGAAUACAGGUCUUAUAUUUAUUGCACCUAAUCUACUUUUGCUUAGCAUAGUUAUUACUCAUAUCAGAAUAUGGGUCUAGACGUGAAUGACGGAAGUUAUAUUUGAAAUCGUGUCUUAAAGCUAGAUAUGCUCAUGCCCAUUUCUUUUUCAUUGCGCACCCAAAAUUGCCAGUACCAUGUUCAGUAUAAAAUACAUCAUCC
rnacentral:lncRNA from 1 species